CUCCAGGAUAGAAGUCUCUGUGGAACUGGUUUUGGGCAGAAAAGCCAUGCUUCAUUUGAUCACAAAGGACUACGAUCUAUCUUUUGAACCACUGGACCAAUUUGUAUGAUUUUGACGUAUGUUUGUAUUUGGAGUAUGCUGAUUCUGAAAAUGUAAGUAUGUGAAUGUGAUGUAUACUUUUAAAGUUAUGAAUAAUGUAAUGGAAAAACUGUAUUUCUC